rnacentral:rRNA from 1 species
GACGAACGCUGGCGGCGUGCUUAACACAUGCAAGUCGAACGGUGAAGCGCCUUCCUUUUUGGUGGGUGUGGAUGAGUGGCGGACGGGUGAGUACCACGUGAGUAACCUGCCACCUUCUUCUGGAUAACCGCAUGAAAGAGUGACUAAUACGGGAUAUUCUGGGUCUGUCGCAUGAUGGGUCUGGGAAAGAUAUUGUUUCGGUGGGGGAUGGGCUCGCGGCCUAUCAGCUUGUUGGUGGGGUGAUGGCCUACCAAGGCGGUGACGGGUAGCCGGCCUGAGAGGGUCGACCGCCACACUGCGAAGGAGCGACGGCGCAGACUACUGCGGGAGGCAGCAGGGAGGAAUACGGCACGAUGGGCGCCAGCCUGAUGCAGCGACGCCGCGGGGGUGAUGGAGGCCUUCGGGUUGAAAACCUCUUUCGGCAGUGAAGCAGGGCUUCCGCGUCUGUGGGCGGGUUGACGGUAGCUGGAUAAGAAGCGCCGGCUAACUACGUG